rnacentral:rRNA from 1 species
AAAUUGAAGAGUUUGAUCAUGGCUCAGAUUGAACGCUGGCGGCAGGCCUAACACAUGCAAGUCGAACGGUAACAGGAAGCAGCUUGCUGCUUCGCUGACGAGUGGCGGACGGGUGAGUAAUGUCUGGGAAACUGCCUGAUGGAGGGGGAUAACUACUGGAAACGGUGGCUAAUACCGCAUAACGUCGCAAGACCAAAGAGGGGGACCUUCGGGCCUCUUGCCAUCAGAUGUGCCCAGAUGGGAUUAGCUUGUUGGUGAGGUAACGGCUCACCAAGGCGACGAUCCCUAGCUGGUCUGAGAGGAUGACCAGCCACACUGGAACUGAGACACGGUCCAGACUCCUACGGGAGGCAGCAGUGGGGAAUAUUGCACAAUGGGCGCAAGCCUGAUGCAGCCAUGCCGCGUGUAUGAAGAAGGCCUUCGGGUUGUAAAGUACUUUCAGCGGGGAGGAAGGUGUUGUGGUUAAUAACCGCAGCAAUUGACGUUACCCGCAGAAGAAGCACCGGCUAACUCCGUGCCAGCAGCCGCGGUAAUACGGAGGGUGCAAGCGUUAAUCGGAAUUACUGGGCGUAAAGCGCACGCAGGCGGUCUGUCAAGUCGGAUGUGAAAUCCCCGGGCUCAACCUGGGAACUGCAUUCGAAACUGGCAGGCUUGAGUCUUGUAGAGGGGGGUAGAAUUCCA